CAGGCCUAACACAUGCAAGUCGCACGGUCAGCAAUGGCAGUGGCGGACGGGUGAGUAACACGUAGGAAUCUAUCCUGGGGUGGGGGACAACAGCGGGAAACUGCUGCUAAUACCGCAUGAUACCUGAGGGUCAAAGGCGCAAGUCGCCUUAGGAGGAGCCUGCGUCUGAUUAGCUAGUUGGUGGGGUAAAGGCCUACCAAGGCGACGAUCAGUAGCUGGUCUGAGAGGAUGAUCAGCCACAUUGGGACUGAGACACGGCCCAAACUCCUACGGGAGGCAGCAGUGGGGAAUAUUGGACAAUGGGGGCAACCCUGAUCCAGCAAUGCCGCGUGUGUGAAGAAGGUCUUCGGAUUGUAAAGCACUUUUGGCAGGGACGAUGAUGACGGUACCUGCAGAAUAAGCCCCGGCUAACUUCGUGCCAGCAGCCGCGGUAAUACGAAGGGGGCUAGCGUUGCUCGGAAUGACUGGGCGUAAAGGGCGCGUAGGCGGCGCGUACAGUCAGAAGUGAAAUUCCUGGGCUCAACCUGGGGACUGCUUUUGAUACGUGCGUGCUUGAGUGAGGAAGAGGGUUGUGGAAUUUCCAGUGUAGAGGUGAAAUUCGUAGAUAUUGGAAAGAACACCGGUGGCGAAGGCGGCAACCUGGUCCUUUACUGACGCUGAGGCGCGAAAGCGUGGGGAGCAAACAGGAUUAGAUACCCUGGUAGUCCACGCUGUAAACGAUGUGUGCUGGAUGUUGGGAAACUUAGUUUUUCAGUGUCGUAGCUAACGCGAUAAGCACACCGCCU
rnacentral:rRNA from 1 species